UUACGGCCACAUCACGUUGAAAUACUGGUUUCCGUACGAUCACUGAAGUUAAGCAAUGUCUAGCCUGAUCAGUACUUAGAUCGGUGACCGCUUGGGAAUAGCAGGUGCUGUAAG